GUCUCGACCUUGGAUCUGGGCUGAAGAAAACCUGAAGGAUCCAAUGGCAAGGAUUGUGGCUUUCCUUCUAUAAACCGACUGAAAAGCGGCACAAAGUUCUUCUGGAGGUGCUUUUAUACACGAGAAACACAGGCGAUCAAACCAGCGCUUCUGGGCUGGUGGGGACAUGACCUGAAAACCAGAUUCCUCAUGAACAACAGUACGUGAUCUCUG